rnacentral:rRNA from 1 species
GACGAACGCUGGCGGCGUGCUUAACACAUGCAAGUCGAACGGAAAGGCCCUGCUUUUGUGGGGUGCUCGAGUGGCGAACGGGUGAGUAACACGUGAGUAACCUGCCCUUGACUUUGGGAUAACUUCAGGAAACUGGGGCUAAUACCGGAUAGGAGCUCCUGCUGCAUGGGGGGGGUUGGAAAGUUUCGGCGGUUGGGGAUGGACUCGCGGCUUAUCAGCUUGUUGGUGGGGUAGUGGCUUACCAAGGCUUUGACGGGUAGCCGGCCUGAGAGGGUGACCGGCCACCUUGGGCCUGAGAUACGGCCCAGACUCCUACGGGAGGCAGCAGUGGGGAAUAUUGCACAGUGGGCGGAAGCCUGAUGCAGCAGCGCCGCGUGCGGGAUGAUGGCCUUCGGGUUGUAAACCGCUUUCGCCUGUGACGAAGCGUGAGUGACGGUAAUGGGUAAAGAAGCACCGGCUAACUACGUG